rnacentral:rRNA from 1 species
UACGGAGGAUGCAAGCGUUAUCCGGAUUUAUUGGGUUUAAAGGGUGCGCAGGUUGUUUGAUAAGUCAGUGGUGAAAGUCUGUCGCUUAACGGUAGGAUUGCCAUUGAUACUGUUAGACUUGAAUAUGGAUGAGGUAGGCGGAAUGUGUAGUGUAGCGGCGAAAUGCAUAGAUAUUACACAGAACACCGAUUGCGAAGGCAGCUUACUAAUCCAUCAUUGACGCUGAGGCACGAAAGCGUGGGGAUCAAACAGGA